rnacentral:lncRNA from 1 species
CCUAUAAAUACCGAUCACCACCUCACUUCCAAACCCGCACACCUCUCAACCACGUUCGUCUCUACCGGGAACCUGCAACCUCCGCCGGAACCACCGCAGGCCACCGGAGAGCCGCCGGAGAAGACAAAACGUCUGCUAUGUUCGAAUGGUUCGACAGCAUAGAGGGUAAAUCUCUUGCAAAACUCUUGGAUUAAAUUCCGCUCGUUACCAAGAAACACGCAACGCACUCUAAGGUUGAUAGAUGAAGAAUUCAAGAAUCAAGUUAGGGUGGAUUAGA